AAGUCGUAACAAGGUUUCCGUAGGUGAACCUGCGGAAGGAUCAUUAACAAAUCCCUGUUCAUUCUUGUAUUAUUGUAGAAACGUGAAUGUGGAUUCAUUCUGCAUUUCAUUUCUCACAUCCAGUACAAGAAUAACACAAGUUCCAUGUUGCAUUGUUUAUAGCUCUGCACAUGACAUUUCUGCAAAUUAUCUGAUUAUGUCAUUACAAAACAAAACAAAUAACUUUUAACAAUGGAUCUCUAGGCUCUU
rnacentral:misc_RNA from 1 species